AUGGUUAGCACACUGAAUGAACAAAAGAUCACCGAAUACUUCAAGAACAAGAGCAUCCUCGUCACUGGAUCAACAGGCUUUCUUGGAAAGAUACUGGUGGAGAAGAUACUAAGAGUUCAGCCUGAUGUGAAGAAGAUCUAUCUUCCCGUGCGAGCGGUGGAUGCUGCGGCGGCGAAGCAUCGGGUGGAGAAUGAGGUAGUAGGGAAGGAGUUGUUCGGGCUUCUGAGGGAGAAGCACGGCGACGGGUUUAAAUCUUUCAUCCAAGAGAAGAUUGUCCCGUUGGCGGGAGACGUGAUGGGCGAGGACUUCGGCAUCGACCCUGAGACUCUGAAGGAGCUCCGAUUGACCGAGGAGCUCGAGGUCAUCGUUAAUGGUGCUGCCACAACCAACUUCUACGAAAGGUAUGAUGUGGCUCUGGACGUGAACGUGAUGGGAGUGAAGCAUAUGUGCAACUUCGCCAAGAAGUGUCCCAACCUCAAGGUGCUCCUCCAUGUCUCCACAGCAUACGUGGCGGGUGAGAAGCAAGGGCUGGUGGAGGAGAGGCCGUUCGAUGAAGGCGAGACACUCCUUGAGGGGACCCACCUUGACAUCAACACUGAGUUCAGGCUGGCCAGCGACCUGAAAAAACAACUUCAGGCCGACGAUGACUCGUCGUCAAAGGCCAAAAGGAAGGCCAUGAAAGAUCUCGGCCUCGCCAGGGCCCGACACUUUGGGUGGCCCAACACAUACGUUUUCACCAAAUCGAUGGGGGAGAUGGUGUUGGGUCAGAUGCAGGGUGAUGUCCCCAUUGUCAUCGUUCGUCCUAGCAUCAUCACUAGCGUCCAGAAUGACCCACUGCCCGGAUGGAUAGAGGGCACCAGGACGAUCGACACGAUAGUGAUCGGCUAUGCCAAGCAGAACUUGACAUACUUCUUGGCCGACCUCGACCUUACCAUGGAUGUGAUUCCCGGUGACAUGGUGGUGAACGCGAUCAUAGCUGCCAUUGUGAUGCACGCCUCGUCCUCGUUUGAGAAGAUAAUGGCCCAUCCCAAGCCACGGCCACCGGCGGUGUACCACGUGACCUCAUCAUUGCGUCACCCGGUGUCAUACAAUGUGUUGCAUGAGGCGGGAUUCCGGUACUUCACAGAGAACCCUCGUAUGGGCCCUGAUGGUCGCCCUGUGCACACCCAUAAGAUGUCGUUCCUGAGGAGCAUCGCCUCCUUCCAACUCUUUAUGGUUCUCAGGUACCGCCUCUUCCUUGAGCUCCUACAUCUGCUCUCCAUCAUUUGUUGUGGCCUCUUCGGCCUCGGUACUCUCUAUCACGACCACGCAUGCAAGUACAGGUUUGUGAUGCAGCUUGUUGACUUGUAUGGCCCCUUCGCGUUGUUCAAGGGGUGUUUUGAUGAUGUGAACCUACACAAGCUUAGGCUCACCAUGGCCGACGAUCAUGCCAGCCUCUUCAAUUUUGACCCGAAGACCAUUGACUGGGAUGACUACUUUUACAGGGUCCACAUCCCCGGGGUCAUAAAGUACCUGGUCAAGUGA
rnacentral:rRNA from 1 species